GCGGCUGUGGCGGAAUUGGCAGACGCGCUAGGUUGAGGGCCUAGUGGUAGCAAUACCAUGCUGGUUCGAGUCCAGUCAGCCGCA
rnacentral:tRNA from 1 species